UUAGUCAGCAUAUUGCAUUUGCCAAACCUAAUUUCUGGACUCUUCUUUACCAUCUCCAUUCUGUCUUUUUUUAUUAUUACCAGAUGAUGACAAGAUAAUCUACGACAAGGUAUCUUCUGUAAGACCCGUGAAUUAGGAAGGUGGGACAAGGUGGUCACCCACCAUUUCCCUAAAACACGGGUGCUUGUUUGGAGGAGGGAUGCAUUAUUGAUACAAGGAAAGAAGAAAAGGGGGCGGCUGGGGGAAGAGGGUGUGUUUUUCAGUUUUUUUAUUUUGGGGGUGUCUUUUGAGAGAAGGGAAUCAGAAAGCGUAGGAAGUUUAUGGGGGACAGUGUGUUUCGUUUGUUUUUGGCUUGAAGAGUGAGAGAGAGAGAGCCGUGAGAGAGAGAGAGCCGUGAGAGAGAGAGAGAGCCGUGAGGGAGAGGGAGCAGCAGGAGGAAGGGAGCCUUCCUUCCUUCCGUUUCCAGCCGUUCGAAGAUCACCUGGGAGCUUUACCAACUUCAGGAAGACUGAGAUGGAUCUGGGUUGAGUUGUUGCAAUGUUUGCUGGGAGAAGAAGAAGUGAAGAACUCUUAAAGAUUGGAAGAAGAUCAAACUCUCUAGAAAUGAUUCAAGGAGGUCUUCAAGAGACGUUGUUGAAGAGGUUUCCCUUGAAGCAAGAGCUGGAGGUUGCUGAUGUUGCAGAAUAGUCUUCUUAGAGUUUCCUGAUUGAACACUUGUAGUGUUUAAUCCUUUCAAAUGUUCAAGUUUAAAUUUUCAGUGUCUGUUAUUGGUGAAUGACUGUAAUUUCAUAUUUAAUUACACUUCAUACUCCGACUGUUCCCUAUAUUUGGAUGUUAACGUCUUUAUUAUAUAAUAUUGGUUAUUAUAUAAUCGGGAUGUGACAUUAAUGGUAUCAGAGCAGUUCGUCCUUAGGAUGACCUUUGUGUUGUA